UACGGAAGGGGCAAGCGUUGUUCGGAAUCAUUGGGCGUAAAGGGCGCGUAGGUGGUUCUGUAUGUCUACCGUGAAAGCAUACAGCUCAACUGUAUUUUGUCGGUAGAAACUGCAGGACUUGAGGCUGGGAGGGGCUGGGUGGAAUUCCCUGUGUAGCGGUGAAAUGCGUAGAGAUGGGGGAGAACACUCGUGGCGAAGGCGGCCAGCUAGACCAGUUCUGACACUGAGGCGCGACAGCGUGGGGAGCAAACAGG
rnacentral:rRNA from 1 species